AUGGAGAACGACGGCGUCCCCAACGGACCAGCGGCGCCGGCGCCUACCCAGGCGACGCCGGUGGGGCGGGAGCAGGACCGGCUGAUGCCAAACGCAAACGUGAUCCGCAUCAUGCGCCGCGCGCUCCCUGCCCACGCCAAGAUCUCCGACGACGCCAAGGAAGCGAUCCAGGAAUGCGUGUCGGAGUUCAUCAGCUUCGUCACCGGCGAGGCCAAUGAACGGUGCCGCAUGCAGCACCGCAAGACCGUCAACGCCGAAGACAUCAUGUGGGCCCUAAACCGCCUCGGCUUCGAUGACUACGUCGUGCCCCUCAGCGUCUUCCUGCACCGCAUGCGCGACCCCGAGGCGGGGACAGGUCGUGCCGCUGCAGGCGACAGCCGCGCCAUGACGAGUGCGCCUCCGCGCGCGGCCCGGCCCGUGAUCCACGCCGUGCCGCUGCAGGCUCAGCGCCCGAUGUACGCGCCCCCAGCUUCGGUGCAGGUUCAGAAUCAGAUGCAGCGGCCCGUGUAUGCUCCCCCGGCUCCGGUGCAGGUUCAGAAUCAGGUGCAGCGGCCUGUGUACGCUCCCCCGGCUCUGCUACAGUACCAGGUGUUCGGUGGAGAGCGUGUCAUGACCCAGCAAUACUACGGGUAUGGGUAUGGGGAAGGAGCGUACGGCGCAGGUAGCAGCAACGGAGGAGCCGCCAUUGGCGACGAGGAGAGCUUGUCCAACGAUGUGCCGGCGCCGGGGGAGGGCACGGAGGAGCCAGAGCCAGAGCCAGCAGCAGAAGAAUCGCAGGACAAGCCCGUCCAAUCUGGCUAG
rnacentral:rRNA from 1 species